rfam:Triticum aestivum genome assembly, contig: Triticum_aestivum_CS42_TGACv1_scaffold_329835_4BS
UGAAUACUCCCUCCGUCCCAAAAUUCUUGUCUUACAUUUGUCUAAACACGGAUGUAUCAAGUCACAUUUUAGUAUUAGGUACAUCCGUAUCUAGACAAAUCUAAGACAAGAAUUUUGGGACGGAGGGAGGUAAAUG